UACGGGGGGGGCAAGCGUUGUUCGGAAUUACUGGGCGUAAAGGGCUCGUAGGUGGCUAAUUAAGUCAGACGUGAAAUCCCUCGGCUUAACCGGGGAACUGCGUCUGAUACUGGAUGGCUUGAGAUUGGGAGAGGGAUGCGGAAUUCCAGGUGUAGCGGUGAAAUGCGUAGAUAUCUGGAGGAACACCGGUGGCGAAGGCGGCAUCCUGGACCAGCACUGACGCUGAGGAGCGAAAGCCAGGGGAGCAAACGGG
rnacentral:rRNA from 1 species